rnacentral:miRNA from 1 species
AUAUAAACUUUUUAUGUGUGUGUGUGUGUGUGUGUGUGUGUGUGUGUAUACACACACACAUACACACAUAUA